GAGGGAGGGAGAGGGUGUGAUGGGGAAGAUUCGAACUUCAAUUGCGGUAGGUAAUUCUUAGCCUCUUUUGCUAUUGAUCAAUUAAUGCAUCUUGUAAUUGAACUGGUUGUUCUUGGGGUUUCAAUUAAGAUUGGUACCCUUGAAACAAGUUUAAGAGUUGUAUUCCAUUGUUUUCUCCUAGAAUAGCUCGAAUUGGUGACUGGAAGCACAGAAUUAGGUCUGAGGUAAUAAAGUUUGUUGCAACUAGGGCUGAAUUCCAAUGUUACGGGUUGGUAAGCUGAGGGAAUUGACUGAAUCUAUUUCUAUGUUUGCUUGUUUUGGCUAAAAUUGUUUAUUAAAAAGCAAGAAUUUUGUGCUAGAUGCUGGAAAUAACCUUCAUAGCUGCUGUAAAUGUAUCUUAAGUGCUGAAUUUCUUUUUAAUCUACCACAAUACAAGCCGAAAGGCUAAUAGUUAAUUGCACAAGUGCUGGAAUUGGAUUUAUAGUUGCUAGAAAUAAGCUUUGUGUCUAUUGUAGAUCUACUGUAAAUGAAUGCUUAGAGCUGAAUUGCAUCUUAAUCUGUUAGGACUUGUAUCAGAAACUAGAAAUCAAUUGUUAUAUCUAUUGAAGGAAAGAGUAUUAGAGAAUAAUGGUUGCAAUCCUUUCUUUUUACGAGUAUCUCAAUAUUGAUACAUACAUGUGUGGAUUAAUGUGUUACACGCCAAGUUCAGAGGCGGCGACGAGUACCGUGACUCCACGUAGGGAGUGAGCUUGUGUUGGUACCUUUUUGCUUGGCCUCAAAUGCAGAUUGAGUCUUCUUGGUUGUGUGGAUUGUCUUAGAGGGACAAAAAAUCUGAAGCAUACGUUUAUUCAAAAAUUGUACACGAAACUUCAAAAGGGUGGGUGGCUAUUGGUUUUGUUCUCAAGUAAACCUAAGAAUCAAUGGAAUGCCAUCACAAAGCACCCUAUUCCUGCUGGGUAUGGUGCUUGGUCUUCAAUGGUUAUGAGACUGGGUGAGGAGCUGCAAAUGGAUAGCAGUGAAUAUCUUUCAAGACUAAGAAACACACUGUAGAAGCAGGGUUUCUGCAUAAAAGCUGUAAUUAGCAGCCAUAUGGAUGCUUUUACCAGCCUGCACUCAACUAUGCACCAUGCUUUCCCUUUAUAGGUGCAAAGAAGCAGUGAUAUUGUUGUAGUGCCAUGCCUUGUAUUGAAAAGAGCACACAAGACCAACCAUUGAGGGUAUGAGAAUGGCUGCUUAAAGCAGAGUUUAAUCCCCUUAAAAUAUUGAUGAACUUUGCUAGCUUAGGAAACUUGCCAUAUGGGGAUUCACACUAUUCUUUCUUUCAAAGGGCUAACCUCCCUCAACAGGUAAAGCACUCAUAUCUUACUUCUCAUUUGCAUGUAAAAUCAGUUUAGCACAUUCAUGGAUUGGAACUUGUGAAUAAUU